rnacentral:misc_RNA from 1 species
GUCCUAAUAAGGUUAACAUUAAAUAGACCCACUGAUCAGGCAGUACUGAACCUAUCAUCAAAGAAACUGUCCUUGUGGUGAUCCCCACUUCCACCACGUGUGACUGAGAGGUAUAUAAACUUUGGUAGGGAAAUUUGAGGACAUCUUCCAUCACUCUUCCAGAUGAAAGAGUUGGCUCCAUUCGUGAGAGUUAGUGUGAACUGUGAUUGAAUGUGACGUGAAACGACAAGUACUUUGAAUAGAAAUAUGGUAGUCUCAAUCAAUCAAGAGUUUCUUAUCCUCGAAGCCAGGGAAAGGGAGGCCUUUUCCUUGAAGAGCUUCUGUUGCUUUAGCAUGCUUUUGAUUCCUUUCAAGGAAACCUUAUCCUGAGGAGAUGAGAACAUUGAAUGCUUUUGGAGUACACAGAGCAAUCCCACUUGCAUUUCAAAGCAUGUGGGUCCUUGCAUUUGUG